rnacentral:rRNA from 1 species
AGAGUUUGAUCCUGGCUCAGAUUGAACGCUGGCGGCAUGCCUAACACAUGCAAGUCGAACGGCAGCACAGCAGAGCUUGCUCUGUGGGUGGCGAGUGGCGGACGGGUGAGUAAUGCAUCGGGACCUACCCAGACGUGGGGGAUAACCUCGGGAAACCGGGACUAAUACCGCAUACGUCCUACGGGAGAAAGCGGGGGAUCUUCGGACCUCGCGCGGUUGGACGGACCGAUGUGCGAUUAGCUAGUUGGUAGGGUAAAGGCCUACCAAGGCGACGAUCGCUAGCUGGUCUGAGAGGAUGAUCAGCCACACUGGAACUGAGACACGGUCCAGACUCCUACGGGAGGCAGCAGUGGGGAAUAUUGGACAAUGGGCGCAAGCCUGAUCCAGCAAUGCCGCGUGUGUGAAGAAGGCCUUC